rnacentral:pre_miRNA from 7 species
CUCUGUGGGCAUCUUACCGGACAGUGCUGGAUUUCUUGGCUUGACUCUAACACUGUCUGGUAACGAUGUUCAAAGGU